GAGAUCUACAAUUGGAAGAAAAGAAAGAAGCGCAGUGAGUCUGAGUGGGAGCUACGGAGGCGCCAAAAACAGAGCACUAGCCCCCUUACU